ACACAGUUUCGCUCUCGUUGUCCAGGCUGGAGUGCAAUGGCGCGAUCUCAGCUCACUGCAACCUCUACCUUCCAGGUUCAAGCGAUUCUCCUGCCUCAGCCUCCUGAAUAGCUGGGAUUACAGCUACCAGAAAAUAUACUCUUUAGUACCUGUUUGUGCACUUUAGUGAGCUGUUCAAGAUUAUUUUCAAGAAAGGAGAUUUUUUGCUUCUGAGCAGCGCUGCCUCCGGUGUCAUCAGAAUCAAUCUCAGCACUCUGAGAAAAGAA
rnacentral:lncRNA from 1 species